rnacentral:lncRNA from 1 species
UAUUCCUCUUUCAAUUCAAGCUCACCCGAGUCUUUGUUUACUUUCGAGGAUCGUGUCUCGAGCAAUGUGUGACAUAUUUCCUCUUCCAGUUCUCUGUUCUUCCAAAGAAAGACUGGUUCAGGUCAAAUGGUAACGUCCUCCCAGAAGGUAACCGGUAGGACAGGUGAUACAGGCAUGGUCGCAACGCACUGGAACUGUAACCAGAGGAGCAAAAUUUAAGUAUCAGCACAUGCUUAAUUCAAAUGAUGGCACUGAUCUCAAUUGUAAUGUUAAAUUUACCUUGUGGUGCUUGUAUUUAUCUCUAACAGCUUGUAAAGCACCUCCUCUUCUCCUCAGAUACAAGUCAUGUAUGAUUCCCACACACUCUUGUAGAUCAGCCGCUUUGUACUUUGUGUAUUCUUCCAACAUCUGAUUCUGUUUUACAUCAAUUAGAUUAUUAGUGUCUCAUUCAAUAAAAUUUACAUGUAAGAGAAUGAGAACAAAAUGCUUACCCAAGGAUGUUGUUUUGGACGGAUGAUGAAUCGAGCAAGGAAAACAGCAGAAGCAGCCAACAUAGAUGGCAAAAACUUCACAGCUUUGUAAUCUAAUAUACUCAAUUCUGAUAAGUAGCAAGAGAGUGGUUCUAGCUGCAAGUGUGGCACCUGAAAUAAAGGCAUAUAAAAAAUAAUAUUUAGCAUUUUGAUACUCUUUUAAGAUUCCUUAUCUUAUAUAAAUGUAGAUCAGUCUGAGCUUACAUUGAAAUCUUCUUGUGCAACCCUUGUGAAUCGUCUGCACAUUAAAAAUGGAAAAACAGAAUGAGGACAAUGAACCAUGCAAACCAGUAAAUUACUCUAUCAGCAAAAGACAUUGUUUCAUCACAAAUCUAACCUUAUAAAAGAAUUGAUUGUGGGUCUUCCCAGUUCAAACUGAAGGGCAAGAAGUAUAUCUGCUUCCAUCUUCACCACAUCUUGUUUCGAAAAUGUAUUAUCAGUGAUGUAACAGAAAUCUUCUACUUUGGGAGGACUUAUCUCUUCAUACUUCCUAAUAAUUUCCAACAACCAAAAGAAUAAGUUUCAUAAGCUUCAUUCAAAAACACAAAUGACUAGCAAAAUAGAGAUCUGAAAGAUGCUUACGAGGCAAUAAGCAUAGCAGAAACUCCCAAGAGCUGAAGCCUCUUCUUGUUGACGGUCUUUAAGGACAAGAAUCUAUCGAUGUAAGAGACAGUGAGAUGGAGUGUCUCAGACAGGAGUUUGUACUCGUCAGCAACUUCGACUAACCAAUCAACCAAAACACCUCUCAUGGUUGGCGUUACAUCUUUCUGAACCUUUUCCAUGUAAUCAGGUAAAGGUCUUUGCUUUGGCUUCACCUGAGUUUCAACCAAAAGCAAUAAUCUUUCAGCUUCACAUAUAACAUAUCCAAUAAUAAUAAUAAUCAUCAGAACCCUAAUUUGUCAAAACCAAAUCAGAUUGUUAUCAUAAAUCUCAGAAACUUAAAGAUCAAACCCACAUUUAAACUAAUAACAAUCAUCAAUUUUUCUGAAUUGUCCACAUUUUAAAGAACAUAUAGAUAAACUGAAAGUCUUCGGACAAAACCCAAAACCUUUAAAUUUGAGAUCGUUACCUCCAUUUGACGGAGAUACUCGUAGAUGUCGGAGACAUAAGGUCCGCACAUCUUGGGAUCAUCGGAUCGAGCAUCAAUGUCAGAUCCAAAUUCCACGGCAGCCAAAGCCACCGGAGCCGUCUUUCUCAAUAGAGCUCCAAGACUCUUUGCGGGCUUCGGGAUCUGAUUGAAACUGGACAAGACGGAGAUGUUGGAGAGAUUCGGAAGCUCGCCGAGAACCACUCUCUUCUUGGUGACACGUUCAUCCUCCGUGGCCGUAGACUUUCUCUUCACCGCCGCUCUCGUCAUCCUCACACAGAUCUCCUUCUCAGUCAUGAUUGAGGGGUUGAAGAGAUUCCGAGAGAAAGGGAAAGUAAGAGAGAGAGAGAUUUGGUGGUGGUGAGGAAGAAGUGAGGGUGAGAAGGGGAAGAAAAAGGGAAGAGUAAAAGCGCCAUUUUCGAGUUGAAAACAAAGCUUCUCGCGCUCUGUGUGCGAUUUUGAGUUUUAUUUUCAAGAGUCAAAAAACUUUGGAGGAAGGAAUCGAAUAUCUAAUCUGAAAAUUGUUUGGCGGGCGAAUUUUUCAUCGGAUAUCUGUCUGAAUUUGUUUUACCCGUACGAUUGUUGUUGAGUCAUGCGAAUUUCACCUUCUCUUUUUCGACGAAUAACAUUUAGAAUUAUUUACUCAAACACCCUUCUAAUUUUCUAUAAAUUAUUUUCAUAUCAUAUUUUUAUAAUAUUUUUUUCCUCGAUAAUUUGUAGUACAUUUUGCUGAUUUGUAUAUGUAAAAUCUUUUUUUUAGAAUACUGCUAUUCAAGCGGCAAAAAGUUUGGGGCUUCGUAGAAUUUUAUCCACCAUUUAUUUGGCGGCUGUUUUCUCCAUUUUUUACCCUUCUAAUCUUUUACAGAUUACCGAUUUAUUAUUAAUAUUCACUGUAUUUAAUUUAUAAAAAUUAUAUUUCAUUUUAGUGUAUUUUUAUUUUCACAUUCUUUAAAAAUAAAUAUAUUAAAUAUCAUAUCUUUUAUUAUUUAUUACUAGAUUUUUAUACGCGUUUUGAUAACGUAGAAUUAAUUUCACAAAUUUUACUUUAACAAAAUAACAUAAAUUUUAUUUUUAUUUGUAAACCAUUUUUUCUAAUAAAUAUUAUGUUUUAAAAUAUUAUAUUAUUAGAAAAAUAAUUUUAUAGAAUAAUAAACUCAAUUUAUUCAUUUUUAUAAUUUAUUUAAUAUUUAGAAGAAUUGGUUUGAGUUUCUGGAUGUUCUUAUAACUAAUACAUUAUUAAUCUAAUAUUAAUAUCCAAACCCAUCGCAGAUAAUAGUAUAGAUAGAUCUGUAACUUAAUAUAUUACAUUAUUUAAUUAUAUUUAUUCUUUACUUUAAUAAUUUAUUUAUAGAUUCACACUUUUUUACAAUUGUCAAGGUUAUUAAAAUUUCUCUCUUAAUUUAGCUUCUUGUGUUUUUCUAAGUUAUGAACUUUAAUACAAACACUUCUCAUUUAGAAAAACUCCAAUUUUGUCAUGUGUAAAAUUGAGGUCCGGUGCACAAAAAGAAGAAAAAAAAAUUGAUGUCCAACAUAGAAUCCACAUUGGCAUCUAGGAUAAGAGCAGCUUUCUCUAACCACAAUGCCAAGUUCACACCUAUUCAUCUGGUAAGCUUUGCAGAUUGAGUUUGAUAGAUUUUAGCUAUCUAGAACUCUUGUAACAACGUAAACACUCUUUAUUAUCAAUAUGAAAGGUAAGUACAGCUUGAGUGUGAAUCGAUCUAAGCUCUCAUAACGAACUCAGAAGCGAUUCACCAGUCUCAUGGCGACUGAGGUGUAAAGACUCAUAACGUCAAUUACAAACAACAUCAAGCAUAACUCUACUCAAUCUCUAUCUUCUUUAUAUAGCUCGCUUCUCUCAGUCUCGAGCUAACCGCAAACCCUCUCUUUCAAAUAGAAGUUCCGCUUCCUCCUUCAUUUAAAUCCCUCUCCACGUCAUCCUCCUCUGCUAUCUCCUUUCCUUCCUUCUCCGAUAGUAAGCUACUUUAUACCUAUCAGAGUUCCACAUCUACAUAAUAAGCAAUGAGGUUUGAGCCUCACCGAGUCUAAAACAACACUAGAUAAGUUAGCUAUCAAAUGGCUAGCCAUCAAUUCACUACAAAUAGUUGUUAACAUUCAUAUCUAUGAGUCUCGUAUUUAUUUCGAUCAGAUAGAAGCCCCCCAAAUUUGAAGCUUUCAUGAAUUUUAUCAGUUAAUCAAAUUUGGUGCAGCCACGGGUUUAAACUGAAUAACCUACCAUAACCGUAAAAGAAGUAAAUUGUACGCAUCUGUAUAGAGAGAUACUAGUAUCUAAAUAAAACCCAUUUACUUGUGAUACGUUGCAGAAGAUAAAUUUUUAAUCUUUUCAUUUGUCAAACAACUUCACUGGCAGGGAAAAAAAAAAUACAGACACGGAAAAUUACAUCUAUGUAUGCCAUAAGUUCACGAUGAUGCCUCUCUAGAUCAGUCUUCAUCUGUCCUAAUUGUUUCCUCUUUCAAUUCAAGCUCAACCCGUGUCUUUAAUACUUCGCAGGAUCGUGUCUCGAGCAAUGUGUGACAUAUUUCCUCUUCCAGUUCUCUGUUCUUCCAAAGAAAGACUGGUUCAGGUCAAAUGGUAACGUCCUCCCAGAAGGUAACCGGUAGGACAGGUGAUACAGGCAUGGUCGCAACGCACUGGAACUGUAACCAGAGGAGCAAAAUUUAAGUAUCAGCACAUGCUUAAUUCAA